AACGAACGCUGGCGGCAUGCCUAACACAUGCAAGUCGAACGAUGCCUUCGGGUCUAGUGGCGCACUGGUGCGUUACGCAUGGGAGCCUUCCCUUAGGUUCGGACUACCUCCCCGAUAGGGGUGCUAAUCCCGGAUAAUUUCUUCGGCCCAAUGAUUUAUCGCCUUUGGAUGGGCUCGGGUUGGAUUAGCUAGUUGGUAGGGUAAACGCCUACCAAGGCGAAGAUCGAUAGCUGGUCUGAGAGGAUGGGCAGCCACACUGGAACUGGGAGACGGCCCAGACUCGUACAGGUGGCAGAAGUGGGGAAUGUUGGACGAAGGGAGAAAGCCUGAGGGAUGGAGGCCGCGGGGGUGUUAAAGGCCUUAGGGUAGGGAAGAGCUUUUACCCGGGAUUGUAAUGACAGUACCGGGUAAAUAAGCGCCGGCUAACUCCGUG
rnacentral:rRNA from 1 species